AUUGGUUGAUCCUGCCGGACCCGACUGCUAUCAGAGUAGGACUAAGCCAUGCGAGUCAACAUAGCAAUAUGUGGCAUACGGCUCAGUAACACGUAGUCAACAUGCCCAGGGGACGUGGAUAACCUCGGGAAACUGAGGAUAAACCGCGAUAAGUCACUACUUCUGGAAUGGGUAAUGACUCAAAUCUAUAUGGCCCCUGGAUUGGACUGCGGCCGAUCAGGCUGUUGGUGAGGUAAUGGCCCACCAAAACCUGUAACCGGUACGGGCUCUGAGAGGAGGAGCCCGGAGAUGGGCACUGAGACAAGGGCCCAGGCCCUAUGGGGCGCAGCAGGCGCGAAACCUCUGCAAUAGGCGAAAGCUUGACAGGGUUACUCUGAGUGAUUUCCGUUAAGGAGAUCUUUUGGCACCUCUAAAAAUGGUGCAGAAUAAGGGGUGGGCAAGUCUGGUGUCAGCCGCCGCGGUAAUACCGGCACCCCGAGUGGUCGGGACGUCUAUUGGGCCUAAAGCAUCCGUAGCCGGUCCUACAAGUCUUCCGUUAAAUCCAACUGCUUAACAGCUGGGCUGCGGAAGAUACUAUAGAUCUAGGAGGCGGGAGAGGCAAGCGGUACUCGAUGGGUAGGGGUAAAAUCCGUUGAUCCAUUGAAGACCACCAGUGGCGAAGGCGGCUUGCCAGAACGCGCUCGACGGUGAGGGAUGAAAGCUGGGGGAGCAAACCGGAUUAGAUACCCGGGUAGUCCCAGCUGUAAACGAUGCAGACUCGGUGAUGAGUUGGCUAUAUGCCAUCUCAGUGCCGCAGGGAAGCCGUUAAGUUUGCCGCCUGGGGAGUACGGUCGCAAGACUGAAACUUAAAGGAAUUGGCGGGGGAGCACCACAAGGGGUGAAGCCUGCGGUUCAAUUGGCAACGCCGGAAAUCUUACCGGGGGCGACAGCAGUAUGAAGGUCAAGCUGAAGACUUUACCAGACAAGCUGAGAGGAGGUGCAUGGCCGUCGCCAGCUCGUGCCGUGAGGUGUCCUGUUAAGUCAGGUAACGAGCGAGACCCCUGCCUCUAGUUGCUACCAUUAUUCUCAGGAGUAGUGGAGCUAAUUAGAGGGACUGCCGUCGCUGAGACGGAGGAAGGAGGGGGCUACGGCAGGUCAGUAUGCCCCGAAACCCUCGGGCCACACGCGGGCUGCAAUGGUAAGGACAAUGAGUAUCGAUUCCGAAAGGAGGAGGCAAUCUCUAAACCUUACCACAGUUAUGAUUGAGGGCUGAAACUCGCCCUCAUGAAUAUGGAAUCCCUAGUAACCGCGUGUCACUAUCGCGCGGUGAAUACGUCCCUGCUCCUUGCACACACCGCCCGUCGCUUCAUCGAAGUUGGUUCUUGGCGAGGUGAUGCCUAAUUGGUACUAUCGAACCUGGGGUCAGCAACGAGGGAG
rnacentral:rRNA from 1 species